rnacentral:rRNA from 1 species
AUUGAACGCUGGCGGCAGGCCUAACACAUGCAAGUCGAACGAGUGGCGGACGGGUGAGUAAUGUCUGGGAAACUGCCCGAUGGAGGGGGAUAACUACUGGAAACGGUAGAUAAUACCGCAUACCAUCGGAUGUGCCCAGAUGGGAUUAGCUUUUAGGUGAGGUAACGGCUCACCUAGGCGACGAUCCCUAGCUGGUCUGAGAGGAGGACACGCCACACGGGAACUGAUACACGGUCCAGACUCCUACGGGAGGCAUCAGUGGGGAAGAUUGCAAAAUGGGCGCAAGCCGGAGGCAGCCAUGCCGCGUGUAUGAAGAAGGCCGUCGGGUUGUAAAGUACUUUCAGCGGGGAGGCGUUACCCGCAGAAGAAGCACCGGCUAACUCCGUGCCAGCAGCCGCGGUAAUAC